GGGCGCAUAGCUCAGCUGGUUAGAGCACCACGUUUACACCGUGGGGGUCAGAGGUUCGAAUCCUCUUGCGCCCA
rfam:Treponema primitia ZAS-2, complete genome.